UAUAUACUGUCUAUGGCAUUGACAGACCUCUCCACAGCGCUCCCAAGCGAACUUAACGCAGCGCAGCCAUGUUGUCAUGCUGUGAUAGAUAUCCCCCGCCCCCACCCUCUUCCAUGCAACGCCGAAAUUAAGUUCAAACUAAAUCUGUAAAAGUAUGUCACAAUGACCCGCGCAGCAGAAAAAAAAAACACAUGUGAAGUUGGCUAACUUAAUUGUGCGUCCGCCAUCUUUAUCACCUGCUGGAGGAGGAGAGAUGGACUGGACGGACUUGGAAGAGCUAACGGUUACGUGUCUUUAGUGAAAUGGAUUCAGCAAAGUGUGGCUUCUAGUCUGGAUCUGAAAAGGUGACUGAGAUGGAUCUGAGAGGCCCAUAUCAUUCUUGGCGUAGAUCCGGAAAAGGCAGUCUCUGAGCAGCAGCCGGCUGUGACUGGGCUCCGUCACGAUUUUAACUCCUCCGCCGUCUUUGAUCUCAGUGCCGUCCUUGAACCAACUGACCACCAAAGACUCCUGAGGAGGAAAGGGCAUCUUAAAAGCGGCGUUCUGGCCCACUCUUACAAUCACAGGUUUGGAGAACUUGUGAAGAUCGUCUGGGUCAAAUUCAGGUACCGUCGCAUUCCAUGCUCAUCUUCACCGCUAAUUCAGCCGGAUUUCCACGAAGAGCAUAAACAUCAGAGAGUCCACAGAUUGCAGACUCAGAGGGCUUGGAAAGCCCCAUGUCAUUCUUGGUAUAGACCCGGAACUUAUACUCCCUUCCUGGCAUGAUAUUGAUGACAGUGAACUUGUUAUUGAAGAGAUGGUCUGCCACAGUCUGCCAAUUACGCUUAACAGAAUCAUGCUUGGUGAUCAUGUAGUGCAGCCUGUCAUCUUUCGUCUCAUCUGGAGAGGGAGUCCAGGAGACCGUCACUGUUCCCGACACGUUCUCCUCCAGCUCCACGGGGCCUGGAGGCUUGGGGUCAUCUAGAAACAGAUGACACCUUUCGAGGCGUGAUGAAGACCACAUCAUACAUGCAACUCACCCAACGUGGAGACAUGCACUUACAGAAGGUGAGUCGUUUGUGUAAUUGGAUUUCUUUUUUGCUCGCAUACCUUUGUCGUCUGGUUGAACUCCUUCUGAAUCGUCGACUAAACACGCAAUGUGACAGCAGGAGAGGGAACAGGACAGGUAAAUAUUAAUCCUGACAGAAGCACCAUGGCAGGUUGGAACUUCGACAGGAUUAUGGAAACAAUUAACAUGAAACACCACAGUAUACAGUAUAACCCAGGAAUGGGAAGCACAAACACAGACACAACUUAGGCAGAACAAAUAUCACACAACAAAGAAUGGUUAGUCAUAGACAAAAUAUAAUACAGUAUGUUAGCAAUAUGUUGUUACAGCAGCAUGUAAAUAGUUGUGCUGUGCAACUGCUGAUUAGACGCUCAGGCAUUUUCUUAUUGCUGGCAUCUCAGGAUGAUUCCUGCGCAGUGCUUGAGAGAAAUUAUGUUCAAAUACUUUGCAGAAAAGCAACUUGUUGGAAAUUAAUUAAAAAGAUGGCUUCAUUUU